AUUGAACGCUGGCGGCAUGCCUUACACAUGCAAGUCGAACGGUAACGGGUCUUGGGGUGCCGACGAGUGGCGAACGGGUGAGUAAUGUACCGGAACGUACCUUUCAGGGGGGGAUAACGUAGCGAAAGUUAGGCUAAUACCGCAUAUUCUGGGAGCAUGAAAGCAGGGGGUCGAAAGACCUUGCGCUGAGUGAGCGGCCGAUAUCAGAUGAGAUAGUUGGGGCGGUAAAGGCUGACCAAGGCGACGAGCUGUAGCGGGUAUGAGAGGAUGAGCCGCCACACUGGAACUGAGACACGGUCCAGACUCCGACGGGAGGCAGCAGUGGGGAAUUUUGGACAAUGGGGGAAACCCUGAUCCAGCCAUGCCGCGUGAGUGAAGAAGGCCUUAGGGUUGUAAAGCUCUUUCGGCCGGGAAGAAAUCGUAUCAGCUAAUAACUGGUGCGGAUGACGGUACCGGCAUAAGAAGCACCGGCUAACUACGUGCCAGCCGCCGCGGUAAAAC
rnacentral:rRNA from 1 species